GCCGGGUGUGGUGGCUCACACCUGUAAUCCCAGCACUUUGGGAGGCUGAGGUGGGUGGAUCACCUGAGGUCAGGAGUUCAAGACCAGCCUGACCAAAAUGGAGAAACCCCAUCUCUA
ensembl:misc_RNA Metazoa_SRP Metazoan signal recognition particle RNA